UAAAUGCAGUAGACACCCCACGAAAUUCGCCGAAUAAAUACAAGUGUGUGCGUGUGUUUAUUGGGGUUAAAAAAACUAAAACAAACAACGUCACGGCAAGAGCAUUGCCAGCAGCAAGAACACACGCCCUACUUUGUAAAAUUAAAUUCCUGUUAAAACCACAUACAUUCAAUCGGUUUGAAACGCCAAGAGCUGGAAAAUACGAAAGAAACCCUCAUACAUAUGUAUGUAUGCUGUGCGCGUGUGUGAGUGUGGUGCAUUCAAGGCUGAUAAAACAACACAAAA